rnacentral:sRNA from 1 species
AUUAAGUAAAUCUAAGUGCCACCGCAAAAGAGACCCUUAAGUUACCCUAGUCCCAGACUCAAUCACCAUUGACGAGAGCUAACCUGACAAGUAUUACGAAUCAACAAGUUAAAGCCAAAACGCUCCCUGCAACCAAUACCUUGGUACAGGGCCACGAAUCUCUGGAAUUAGUGGUUCAGACAUUUCAUCGAACACCUUUUGGGCGCAGAAAUGUCUGGGCUCAAAUUCCUGUUGAUUAGAAAGCAAUAGGCAUUAAGAACAACUAAUCCAGAAGGGAUCUAUCAAUCAAACUCAACCACUUAGCAUACUGAGAAUUCUAAACUACUCUAACCCAUCCUCAGAAACCUAUUCACUACUCAGACAACAUUAUAGAGAACAUAAACGUUGAAUUGAAUGAAAAC